rnacentral:rRNA from 1 species
GUAGGUGGCAAGCGUUGUCCGGAAUUAUUGGGCGUAAAGCGCGCGCAGGCGGUUCUUUAAGUCUGAUGUGAAAGCCCACGGCUCAACCGUGGAGGGUCAUUGGAAACUGGAGAACUUGAGUACAGAAGAGGAAAGCGGAAUUCCACGUGUAGCGGUGAAAUGCGUAGAGAUGUGGAGGAACACCAGUGGCGAAGGCGGCUUUCUGGUCUGUAACUGACGCUGAGGCGCGAAAGCGUGGGGAGCAAACAGGGAUUAGAUACCCUGGUAGUCCACGCCGUAAACGAUGAGUGCUAAGUGUUAGGGGGGUUUCCGCCCCCUUAGUGCUGCAGCUAACGCAUUAAGCACUCCGCUUGGGGAGUACGGCCGCAAGGCUG